UAGGGAAUCUUCCACAAUGGACGCAAGUCUGAUGGAGCAACGGCCGCGUGAGUGAAGAAGGUUUUCGGACCGUAAAGCUCUGUUGUUGGUGAAGAAGGAUAGAGGUAGUAACUGGCCUUUAUUUGACGGUAAUCAACCAGAAAGUCACGGCUAACUACGUGCCAGCAGCCGCGGUAAUCGUAGGUGGCAAGCGUUGUCCGGAUUUAUUGGGCGUAAAGCGAGCGCAGGCGGAAGAAUAAGUCUGAUGUGAAAGCCCUCGGCUUAACCGAGGAAAUUGCAUCGGAAACUGUUUUUCUUGAGCGCAGAAGAGGAGAGUAGAACUCCAUGUGUAGCGGUGGAAUGCGUAGAUAUAUGGAAGAAUACCAGUGGCGAAGGCGGCUCUCUGGUCUGCAACUGACGCUGAGGCUCGAAAGCAUGGGUAGCGAACAGGAUUAGAUACCCUGGUAGUCCAUGCCGUAAACGAUGAGUGCUAAGUGUUGGGAGGCUUCCGCCUCUCAGUGCUGCAGCUAACGCAUUAAGCACUCCGCCUGGGGGAGUACGACCGCAAGGUUGAAAC
rnacentral:rRNA from 1 species